GACGAACGCUGGCGGCGUGCUUAACACAUGCAAGUCGAACGAGACGAUUGAAAGCUUGCUUUUAAAAGUCGAGUGGCAAACGGGUGAGUAACGCGUAGACAACCUGCCUUUGAGAUGGGGACAACAGUUCGAAAGGACUGCUAAUACCGAAUGUUGUAUAUUUUCCACAUGGAAGAUAUAUUAAAGAUGGCCUCUAUUUAUAAGCUAUCGCUCAAAGAUGGGUCUGCGGCUGAUUAGCUGGUUGGUGGGGUAACGGCCUACCAAGGCGACGAUGGGUAGCAGGACUGAGAGGAUGAACGGCCACGUUGGGACUGAGACACGGGCCAGACUCCUACGGGAGGCAGCAGUGGGGAAUCUUGCACAAUGGACGGAAGUCUGAUGGAGCAACGCCGCGUGAGUGAAGAAGGGUUUCGGCUCGUAAAGCUCUGUUGUCGGGGAGGAAGGUGCAUUAUUUGAAAAAAGUACUGAGAUGACGGUACCUGACGAGGAAGCCACGGCUAACUACGUGCCAGCAGCCGCGGUAA
rnacentral:rRNA from 1 species